AGGAGCAGUGAAGGUGGGUCCUCCAGGCUUGCCUAGAGAGGCUGUAGGGAAGCAGCCAAUCAGAGCGCAGCAGGUUCAGGUAAAUGGACCUGCAGGACCUGAGCAGAUCAGUUUAUGGCAGAGACCAGAGGAGCAAGGAGAAAGGGUUUCUUGCUGGUUGCUGGAGCUCAAGGGAGAACCAGAAGGGGCUAUAUUUCUCUUCCAAGAUCUGGCCAAUGCAUCACUUGCUGCAAGAAUGAGUUGUGAUAGUUAACUGCCAGAAGCAGAGGAAAUAUGCCCAUCCCGGGAGACUUUUGAAGACAAUGCUUCUUGAACCAAGGGCACAGACUGCUUGACCAGUGAGCCGUGUGAUAAAGCACAAACAGCGCAGGAAAUGAAAACCCUAGGAGCAGCAGAUGAUGUGGGCAGGAGGCACAGGAGAGACAAAUUUAUACAAAAAAUGUGGACCAAAAAAUCCUUGAAGUUUGUGCAUCUCACAUGGAAAAAGUAUAAAAAAGGAUCAUGGCAGGAGGUUGAGCAGGCUGGAGGAAUGAGCAUGGAAUUAGGUGGUCAUAUGUUCUAAACCUGGCUUUGCCUCUGGUACCAUGGUGAUAGGUGCUGUACAAGAAUAUCUUAGAUGGAUCGAUAUAACAGAUGAACAGUUGGAAGUUCUCUCAUCACUCCUUAUGAAAUCACUAGAAAGCUGAACUCGCGGGACAAAGGUGGUGAAGACAGAUAAUCGAGGCAAGUGAGAAGCUAAAGUCAAUUAAUCUUAUAAGAGAAAACAGAACAAUAGAAUGGCUGGAGGGUAGUUGUAUUCAGAGGAGAAGGAAG